GGGUCGUAAAGCACUUUCAGUAGGGAGGAAGGUAGUGUAGUUAACACCUGCAUUAUUUGACGUUACCUACAGAAGAAGCACCGGCUAACUCCGUGCCAGCAGCCGCGGUAAUACGGAGGGUGCGAGCGUUAAUCGGAAUUACUGGGCGUAAAGCGCAUGCAGGCGGCCUGUUAAGUCAGAUGUGAAAGACCCGGGGCGUUAACCUCCGGAAUUGCAUUUGAAACUAGGCAGGCUAGAGUCUUGUAGAGGGGGGUAGGAAUUUCAGGUGUAGCGGUGAAAUAGCGUAGAGAUCUGAAGGAAUACCAGUGGCGAAGGCGGCCCCCUCGGACAAAGACUGACGCUCAGAUGCGAAAGCGUGGGGAGCAAACAGGAUUAGAUACCCUGGUAG
rnacentral:rRNA from 1 species